rnacentral:lncRNA from 13 species
UUAUGCUUUCCUUAUUGGAUCUUCUGGGGGUACUGAACAAAUAUAUUAAGAGAGGAAAGCAGCAAUGGAUAAAUGGAAAGAGAGUCAAGACGGGGUUUUUUUAAAGAAAGGGGAAAUAAUGCACGUCCUCCGCAGCAUACCCAUUACCUAUCCUUUCCACAAUGUGAAUAUUUCCUGCAAUGGCUAGCCAAGAUUCUUCUACCAGUCAAAACUAAGCGCAAGAUGACCACAUUUUUUAAAUCUUCUCUUUGAUUUUUGACAGCUUGAUUACAUUAUGUCUUGGGGUAGUCUUACUUGGAUUGAAUUUGAUUGGAGACCUUUAACCUUCCUGUACCUUGGAUAUUUACAUUUUUUUUCAGGUUUGGAAUUUUUCUUCUAUUAUUUCUUUAAAUGAGCUUUUCAUCCCUUUAUGUUUUUCUUCUUU